rnacentral:rRNA from 1 species
UACGUAGGGUGCGAGCGUUGUCCGGAAUUAUUGGGCGUAAAGGGCUCGUAGGCGGUUUGUCGCGUCGGGGGUGAAAACUCAGGGCUUAACCCUGAGCCUGCUUCCGAUACGGGCAGACUAGAGGUAAGCAGGGGAGAACGGAAUUCCUGGUGUAGCGGUGAAAUGCGCAGAUAUCAGGUGGAACACCGAUGGCGAAGGCAGUGAUCUGGGCCAGUACUGACGCUGAGGAGCGAAAGCGUGGGGAGCAAACAGG